rnacentral:rRNA from 1 species
GGAAAAGGGCAGCAAGAGGAGGACAAGCAGGAGUUGAAGGACACCUUGGGCGUCCAGUCGGAGGCGUUAAGUGAGAAGUAUCUUGGACUCCCAACACUGGUUGGGAAAUCCAAAGACGGAACCUUCAAAUAUGUGACUGAAAGUGCGAAGGGCAAAGUGAAUGGAGUGAAGGGGCAAGGCUUGUCAAAGGCAGCAAGGGAAGUGUUGAUCAAAUCAGGGCUGCAAGCUGUACCAACAUUCACCAUGAGUUGUUUCCAGCUCACGAAGAAAAUAUGCCGGAACCUGACAUCAAUUUCUUCUAAAUUC